rnacentral:tRNA from 1 species
GCACUGUAGUAUUAAAAAUGCCCUCCGAAGGCAGGGGUCGUGGGUUCGAAUCCCGCCGGAUGCGCCA